rnacentral:rRNA from 1 species
GACGAACGCUGGCGGCGUGCUUAACACAUGCAAGUCGAACGGAAAGACCUGCUUUCCCUUGUGGAUUGCGGGUACUCGAGUGGCGAACGGGUGAGUAACACGUGAGUGAUCUGCCCCGAACUUGGGUAUAAGACUGGGAGACUGGGUCGAAUAACCGAUAGAACUGCAGGGUGGUGCCUGUGGUGAAAGACGAUCUUCUAGUGGUUGGGGAUGAGCUCGCGGCCUAUCAGCUUGUUAUGGGGGUAAUGGACUACCAAGGCGGCGACGGGUAGCCGGCCGGAGAGCGUGGACGGCCGCAUUGGGACUGGGUCACGGCCCAGACGGCUGCGGGCGGCAGCGGUUGUGACGAUUGCGGCGUGGGCGGAAGGCUGAUGCAGCGCCGCAGCGUGGGGGAUCUCGGCCUUCUGGUUGUAUGCUCCUUUCGACCAAGAGGUAUCUACCUGGCUGGAAGGGUGUUGACGGUAGUGGUAGAAGAAGCACCGGCUAACUACGUG